rnacentral:tRNA from 1 species
GAUUCUGUAGCUCAGCAGGUAGAGCAUCUGCCUUUUAAGCAGGGGGUCCUGGGUUCGAAUCCCAGCAGGAUCA